rnacentral:rRNA from 1 species
AGAGAGAGACAUGCGCGCAUAUCAAUAAGCGGAGGAAAAGAAACUAACUAGGAUUCCCUCAGUAACGGCGAGUGAAGCGGGAAGAGCUCAAAUUUGAAAUCUUCAAGGUUUUACCUUGACGAAUUGUAGUUUAAAGAAGUGUUUUCUGUUGGAAUUUUGGUAAAAGUUCUUUGGAAAAAGACAUCAAAGAGGGUGAGAAUCCCGUAUUUGACCAUUAUUUCCAGCUUUGUGAUACACUUUCAAAGAGUCGGAUUGUUUGGGAAUGCAGUCCAAAAUGGGUGGUAAAUUUCAUCUAAAGCUAAAUAUUGGCGAGAGACCGAUAGCGAACAAGUACCGUGAGGGAAAGAUGAAAAGAACUUUGAAAAGAGAGUUAAACAGUACGUGAAAUUGUCAAAAGGGAAGCGUUUGACACCAGUGUUGUUUUCUCGAAAAUCAAUUAAAAAUGGUGGGAUUUUGUGUUGUAUUGACUUUAUCAGCUUUCUGCACUUUUUUCCUGUCUUUCUUAAUGCACUUUUCGUUUAACAAGUCAACAUCAAUUUCUUUUGUUGUAAAAGGGUAAUAGGAAGGUGGCUUUACUUUCGGAGUAAAGUGUUUAUAGCCUUUGGACUCUGCAAUCGGAGAGAUUGAGGUCUGCAGCGUAGAUCCUUCGGGGCUAGAUAGCAUUUGUGCUAAGUUAUAGCUUUCAUAGACAACUUGUUGACUAUGAUUAGUCAUUGUAGCUUACUCGCUUACUGCUAUUUUACCUACGCUUAGGAUGUUGACAGCAGUAUAGACUGU